ncrna:Pseudomonas putida W619 C4 antisense RNA
UUCAAUGGCGGCUGUGUGUGGGGCACGCUUGCGUGCGCCGGAACUUCCUAUGUCCGCCGGUCUGUCAACCUGCACACAGCUGCCACCCAA